rnacentral:rRNA from 1 species
UACGUAGGUGGCAAGCGUUGUCCGGAUUUAUUGGGGUUAAAGGGUGCGUAGGCGGCUUUGUAAGUCAGUGGUGAAAUAUGGCAGCUUAACUGUCAAGGUGCCAUUGAUACUGCGGAGCUUGAGUACAGAUGAGGUAGGCGGAAUUGACGGUGUAGCGGUGAAAUGCUUAGAUAUCGUCAAGAACACCUAUAGCGAAGGCAGCUUACUAGGCUGUAACUGACGCUGAGGCACGAAAGUGUGGGGAUCAAACAGG